rnacentral:lncRNA from 1 species
AGUCUAUUAAUUAUUAAGGCAGCCAACUCACUUUGCCUGAAUAAAGAAUUGUGUGUUUUGUUAUUGCAAUAUAAUUUCAGCCUUUAAAUGUCAGCAAUCAUAGCAUUGUUAUUUUGAGAUUAAUAGUACUUUAUGCUUACUAUGUAGUAGCUAUGUUCAGUGCAUCUACAAAGCUCUCUACAAACUCCUUUUGAGGGUAAACUACCUUUUGCAUUUUACCAACAGAUACAUUGAGACAUUAAUGGUCCUAUCUGGCAAGGUGAGGGAUAUCUUCAGCGAAGUACUGGGCUACCCAUCUUGCAGGACUGACCAGGAGUAGUUUUUCCAGGUCACACAGGGUAUCGGCAGUAACAGAGCCAGGAAAAGAUCCCAGAACACCAGAAUUGAGAGCUACAGGCUGUGCUGAGACAUCCUUAACUCUUCACACACUCCAGAGGGGAGGCAGAAAUCAGAAAGGGAAAGGAGAGAGAGAGAAGAAAGCUCACAGCUCCAUCUUGCAAACAACAAAAAGGAUUGUGCUAAAACGACUGAAGAGUAACCAAGUGAAGAGCACCGCAGCCCGUCACACACUUGCCACUGAGGAGGAAAGCCCCUCCCCAGCAAUGGAGUGAGUAUUGAUGUUCUCUAUUUGUGCAACUACUAUCCCUUCUCCCGAAGCAUGUUUCCAUGGUGACCAAUUCAUUGGGGUUAUCUAGCAGUACCGGUAACUGUCUGGUUUCGUUUGGCUUUCAUGGACAUUCUGUGCGUCCGUGGCAGGAGCUGGGGAGGAUGGGAAUGAAGUGAUUUGAUUUUUAUAUGAUAAUACACAGGUAGUUUUGUUCCUAGUGGACCUUAUUUUACAGCCUCAUCCCUGCACAGAGCUGAUUUCCAUGUCUCAGCACUGUAUCAUCAGCCUGGUAUUUCCCUGCUGGUUGGCUGCAAACAGCCAUUAUUUCAGAUUCAUAACCACGGCAGCGCUGUUUGUCGCAGGAAGCCAGCGACAAACUGGGAUCACGUACAAGUAAUUAAAAAACGUUAAGUGUGAGGAAAAUAACUUUGUGGGAGGGCAAGGGGCUAAAAUGC